CGCACGGGUGAGUAACACGUAUCCAACCUGCCGUCUACUCUUGGCCAGCCUUCUGAAAGGAAGAUUAAUCCAGGAUGGCAUCAUGAGUUCACAUGUCCGCAUGAUUAAAGGUAUUUUCCGGUAGACGAUGGGGAUGCGUUCCAUUAGAUAGUAGGCGGGGUAACGGCCCACCUAGUCAACGAUGGAUAGGGGUUCUGAGAGGAAGGUCCCCCACAUUGGAACUGAGACACGGUCAA
rnacentral:rRNA from 1 species